UAGGACAUUUGUCUAAGGGAGGAGAGUCCUGGUCUCUGCUCCCAUGACUAGUUCAUUGUCUUACCUUCAACUGCUAUGUGUGAAAUACUGGAACUGCAAACAGGACAUAGACAGGAACCACGGACCUCACCCAGGAACAGAGACCCAGCAUUUGAAAGACAAAAGACCCUGUGGAACCAGCAACUCUACCACUGUACCCCACCAUUACAGACACCUGAAACUGCAUAUUCCCUGCAUAGAGCACACAUGCUCAGUGCGCCAGGGGCUGACCUUUGCCUUGGCAUGCCUCCUGUCACUAGGGUCACACAAGGUGUGCCCCUAUAAAAGAGGCAGUGAAGACAGACCCAGUGGGAUGCCCUCUCCAUCUGGACCAGCACCAUGCCACACCACCUAUCCACCCAGAGGCCCUGCCGGCGACCCCCCUCUGGACAACACCUACUGGACAAGGACCCCUUUCCAGCCUGGAUAGCAUAGAAGUACAACAUUUCCCUAGAGAAGAGUGAUUCAAUCUUAGCAGACGAUUCAUGAGAGGACAAGUGCACAGAACCUGACAAAAGUUGUGGCAAGAAUUCAAGAUCUAUGAAAGCAGUUCUAAGGCUAAAGAAUUAUUCUAACAUUAAACGUAAAUAGCGAACAGCCUUGAAUAUCCUUCUGGCUAAUGACAUAGAAAACAUGGUGCAAAUUGGAUAAGAACAAAGAUGAAGGAAUGAAAUUACCUGCC